UACGGAGGGCGCGAGCGUUGUCCGGAAUCACUGGGCGUAAAGGGCGCGUAGGUGGCGCGGGAAGUCAACGGUGAAAGUUCGGGGCUCAACCCUGAAUCGGCCGUCGAUACUCCCGGGCUCGAGCACUGUAGAGGCAGAUGGAAUUCCGGGUGUAGCGGUGGAAUGCGUAGAGAUCCGGAAGAACACCGGUGGCGAAGGCGGUCUGCUGGGCAGUUGCUGACACUGAUGCGCGACAGCGUGGGGAGCAAACAGG
rnacentral:rRNA from 1 species